UACGGGAGGCAGCAGUGGGGAAUAUUGCACAAUGGGCGAAAGCCUGAUGCAGCUAUGCCGCGUGUAUGAAGAAGGCCUUAGGGUUGUAAAGUACUUUCAUCGGGGAGGAAAAAAACAAAACUAAUAAUUUUAUUUCUUGACGUUACCCGAAAAAGAAGCACCGGCUAACUCCGUGCCAGCAGCCGCGGUAAUACGGAGGGUGCUAGCGUUAAUCAGAAUUACUGGGCGUAAAGAGCACGUAGGUGGUUUUUUUAAGUCAGAUGUGAAAUCCCUGGGCUUAACCUAGGAACUGCAUUUUGAAACUGAAAUACUAGAGUAUCGUAGAGGGAGGUAGAAUUCUAGGUGUAGCGGUGAAAUGCGUAGAUAUCUGGAGGAAUACCUGUGGCGAAAGCGGCCUCCUAAACGAAUACUGACACUGAGGUGCG
rnacentral:rRNA from 1 species